UCUGAAUCUGCGAACGGCUCCGCAAACCAGUUGUAAACUAGAGCAAGCUAGUCUGGCGGGCUUCGGCCUCCAGGCGAUAUGGAUAACCCUGGUAAUUCUGAGGCUAAUACAUGACCGCAAAACCGAGCAGCCCAGCAAUGGAUGCCCGGGGAUGUGCGAUAUGGCUUGACAAUACCGGGAAAGGACGCACACUCAGACCGCGCUAAAAAGGAUCAGGACUCUCUUCGGAGAACUUGGCCCCAGCGGCUCUUGCUGUGUGCUUCUGACCUAUCAACUAGACGGCAGCGUAAUGGACAUGCUAUGGU
rnacentral:rRNA from 1 species